AACGAACGCUGGCGGCAUGCCUAACACAUGCAAGUCGAACGAAGGCUUCGGCCUUAGUGGCGCACGGGUGAGUAACGCGUGGGAAACUGCCUAUUGGUGGGGAAUAACGACGGGAAACUGUCGCUAAUACCGCAUAAGCCCUUCGGGGGAAAGAUUUAUCGCCGAUAGAUGUGCCCGCGUCCGAUUAGCUAGUUGGUGAGGGAAUGGCUCAACAAGGCGACGAUCGGUAGCUGGUCUGAGAGGAUGAUGAGCCACACUGGGACUGAGACACGGCCCAGACUCCUACGGGAGGCAGCAGUGGGGAAUAUUGGACAAUGGGCGAAAGCCUGAUCCAGCAAUGCCGCGUGAGUGAUGAAGGCCUUAGGGUUGUAAAGCUCUUUCGGGUGGGACGAUGAUGACGGUACCACCAGAAGAAGCCCCGGCUAACUUCGUGCCAGCAGCCGCCGUAA
rnacentral:rRNA from 1 species